GAGAAGUAGCUGUAAAGCUCAGGAGGGAUAGCGCCAUGUCUCACCGGUACUAUAAAAUGUUUGUAUAUCUAUAUUGGCGCUAUCCAUCCUGAGUUCUAUGGGUUCUUCUU
rfam:Brassica oleracea var. oleracea cultivar TO1000 chromosome C3, whole genome shotgun sequence